UACGGGAGGCAGCAGUGGGGAAUAUUGCACAAUGGGCGCAAGCCUGAUGCAGCCAUGCCGCGUGUAUGAAGAAGGCCUUCGGGUUGUAAAGUACUUUCAGUCGUGAGGAAGGUGUUAAGGUUAAUAACCUUAGCAAUUGACGUUAGCGACAGAAGAAGCACCGGCUAACUCCGUGCCAGCAGCCGCGGUAAUACGGAGGGUGCGAGCGUUAAUCGGAAUUACUGGGCGUAAAGGGCACGCAGGCGGUUAAUUAAGUUGGAUGUGAAAUCCCCGGGCUUAACCUGGGAAUGGCAUUCAAGACUGGUUAGCUAGAGUCUUGUAGAGGGGGUAGAAUUCCAUGUGUAGCGGUGAAAUGCGUAGAGAUGUGGAGGAAUACCGGUGCGAAGGCGGCCCCUGGACAAAGACUGACGCUCAUGUGCGAAAGCGUGGGGAGCAAACAGGAUUAGAUACC
rnacentral:rRNA from 1 species